UGCCAGCAGCCGCGGUAAUACGGAGAGGGCAAGCGUUGUUCGGAAUCACUGGGCAUAAAGCGCACGCAGGCGGAUUGGAAAGUCGGUUGUGAAAGCCCUGGGCUCAACCUGGGAACUGCAUCUGAUACUGCUGAACUCGAGUACGGUAGAGGGUAGUGGAAUUUCCUGUGUAGCGGUGAAAUGCGUAGAUAUAGGAAGGAACACCAGCGGCGAAGGCGGCUUUCUGGACCGAUACUGACGCUGAGACGCGAAAGCGUGGGGAGCAAACAGGAUUAGAUA
rnacentral:rRNA from 1 species